GAGCCCAACCUUCUGGUGCUGCAAAUCAUCUUGAAGGUCCUGCUCCCCUGGACCACAUCCAGGGAGGUACAUGAGCGGCUGAGGGCAGUGGGAAGGAUCAGGUGGCUGAUGGAAUUCAUGGGGUCUCAGUGCAAAUUCCAGGAAGUGGAGGAGUUCAGAGUCCUGGGCCAGCUGGUGGGGUGUCUCACUCUGUGCUGUGUGGAGCAGGAGCAGGAGAUCUGGCAAUCGGCUGUGGAGGGACUUCACCACCUCUUCUCCUUCAUGCAGCUGCUAA